UUCCAGCGAUAGGCCUACACUCGCAUACCUGUACACAACGAUAAUCUCCGCACCCGCUUCUCUUCGCGAUGAAGCAGGGGAAGUCCACGAUGGAGCGACUCCGCGACGCGUCGCACGUGUCGGACCUGCCAACUAUUAUCAAGCUCAUAAUGAAGCGAAACAUUGACAUCAAGAGGCCCGAUCCACAUGGCCGCACCUCACUGCACUACGCCUGCAUGAACGACAACAAGGUGUUGGUAUCUUACCUCCUCUCUCGUGGCGACAUUGAUGUGGACCUGAAAGACAAGGACGGCAAAACGGCGCUUCAGCUGACACCGGAGACGUCACGGAGUGACAUGCGGCUUUUGUUUUCCAAGAUGAUGGCGAACCGACAAGCGCGCGAGCCCCAGUCGACGCUGAAGGGCGUGGAGGCGAAUGAGCAGAUGCUGGACGAUGAUCUGCGCGAGUCCGACAAGGUGAGCCCCGCGACCAUGCGUAAAAUCUUAGUGUGCCUGGUGCUGCCGCUGCUCUUCCUCAUCUUCUACAACGGCAUCGUCUUUGCAGUCCAGUUUAUUGCGGCGACGCUCUGCUUCUACUAUUUUGCAGUGGCGUACUUUGUGUCUGAGGUGGCUAUUCGGCCGCCGUGGUACCAUCACCACCCCGGCGCAAGCGCCCUGACCAUGAAGGGAUGCCCCGACUACUGGCAAGGGUGGAUCUACGACCCCAAGACGGACUUCGGCCUCGAUUACGAGGAUGUCGAGUUCUCGUCGACCGACCACUACAAGCUCCGCGGAUGGUACGUCCCGCCGCCGCCGGGGAAGGCGAGAGAGAUGGGCAUUGUCCUCGUGCACGGCGGUGGCCGCGACCGUCGCUCAUGGGAGCGACAUGUGCCAUUCCUGCACAAUGCCGGCUACGGCUGUUUGCUGUUCGACUUCCGCGAGCACGGCCUGAGCAGCGGCAGGAUGCGCGGCUUUACGUUUGGCAUAAAGGAACGCUUCGACGUCGUAGCGGCGUGCGAUCUCAUGCAGUCCAAGUACGGCUACAAGCGCAUCUGUGCCAUGGGCACCAGCGUCGGCGGCUCCUCGGUGGUCAUGGCCGCCGCCAUCGACAAGAACAUCGACGUUGUCAUCGCCGAGAACGCGAUCACCACGUCGGCGACGCUACUGGAUCAGCAGAUGGUGAUGGUGCUCAGCGGCUACUUUGCCCAGAAACGCUAUAGCGUGGAGCUCUUCAGGCUGUUCCGCCGGUGCGCCACCUUCUGGCUGAACUGGCGCAUCGGCAACAAGCCGUCGAAGCAUUGCCAGGCCCUGCACUGCAUCACCAAGAUAUCGCCGAGGCCGAUACUGCUCAUGCACGGCAUGAGCGACACUGUGGUGCCGAUGCGCCACUCGGAGAUUUUGUUCGAGACGGCCCUGGAGCCGAAACAGCUGUACUUGUGUGAGGGCGCCUUUCACUGCGGCCUCUACAACACAAAGCCGGACGAGUACGAGGCUACGGUGCUCGGUUUUCUGGAUAAGUACGGCGCCACCUCACCACCGUCCUCACCGUCGCCCCAGGAGAGCAAGAAGGAUCAGUAGGAGUAUGCUUCCCAAAGCCCAUCUCGGCUCCCCUCUCUGUGUAUGUGUGCACCAGCCUGUGCGCAUGUCGCGCCGCCACCCAACACCACGAUUCGUGCCACUAUACAACGCGCGCACGCGCCGUCCGUUAUUUUGUUAGCCGUUUCUUUUCGUUAACCCGGUCAUUUUUUGCCCUUUCCCGUCUGUAGCCUUCUCUGCCACUGCGCGCCACGUUUCUCCUAUUUUUCGUUUUCCGGUGUGCGGUUUGGUGCGCGUGCGAAGGGGGUGUCACCGGAUGCGCUGUGCUCAGUGCUGUGGAUGUGGUCGGCGCUUGUAGGCGAGUGCGCGUGUCUGCCGUUUUGUCUGCUGCCUCGAGCAUCGCUCACCCGCCCACGCACCAGCGCAUCGUUUUCUUGUCGCGCUCGUUGCCUUCUCCCCCUUGUUUGUACCGGGUUGCAUUGGCUUCAAG
rnacentral:misc_RNA from 1 species